AAAGAAAAUUGUCUUUGCAGGUCCACGUCUUCGUAUAGCCCCAAUAUAACGGUACCUCCCUAUAUUCGGUAUUUUGAUGAUUUUAGCGACAUUAUUCACUGAAAUUGUUUCAAAUUUGGUAUUUGGAGUUCCAAAUGGAUACUACACCCUAAGACUGAAAAUUGUCUGUGCAGGUCCACGUCUUCGUAUAGCCCCCAUAUAACGGCAUCUCGCUAUGUUCGGUAUUUUGAUGAUUUUAGCGACAUUAUUAACCGGAAUUGUUUAAAAUUUGGUAUUUGAAGUUCGUUAUGGGAACUACAGUCUGUGACAGAAAAUUGUCGGUGCGGGUCCAGUUUCGAAUUUGAAUAAGGUAAUGGCUUAUGACAAACAAUGCAUAUGUAUGUCCACGUCGUAUAGACCCCAAUAUAACGGCUAUAUUCGGUAUUUUUAAAAUUUUAACAGAAUUUUUUAAGGAUUUUAUUUUUUGAAAAUUUCCAAAUUCGUUGCAAAUGGUGGAGGGUAUUAAAAGUUCGGCCCGGCCGAACUUACUGCUUUUUAACUUGUUUUUUUUUUUUGAAAAAUUUCUAAUUCGUUCCUAAUGGUGGAGGGUAUUCAAAGUUCGGCCCGGCCGAACUUCCUCCUUUUUACUUGUUUAUACCCUUCACUAUACAUAGUAUGGAGGGUAUAUUAAGUUCAUCAUUCCGUUUGUAACUCAUCGAAAUAAUAAUUUUAAACCCAACAAAGUAUAUAUAUUCUUGAUUGACGUAAAAUUAAGCCCUGUCCGCCGGUUUGUCCUUCCGUUGCACAGAUCUGUCUUUUGCUGCAGGCAGGUCAAGUUCGAAGAUGGCCUAUAUCUGCACAAAUGGGCACAAACCGAGUACGACUCAGCACAACUUUAUUUUUUGCGAAAUUCGAAUAUUUUUCGAAAAAAUCUUUUUUAGAAUAUCUCAGAAUUUUUUUCGAAUUUCGAAAAAAAAUCGGCACAAUUGAGCACAAACCUAGCACAAUUCAGCACAACUUUCCUUUUUUCGAAAUUCCAAAAUUGCAAUUCCAACGGACAUCACAUAUACUUCGGUCGACUAUAUCUGGUAGCUCACGCACAUAUUAACUUUUUCUAAAAAUUAUUACAUAUGUAAAGUAAAGUGAAGGAAGUUACCAAUAUAUUCCAAACUUGCCACGUCCAAAUAUUUAUAUCAUAUUUAUUUAGUUCCGAUAAGAAAUGGGCAAUAUUGGUCCAUUCUUUCAAAACCCACUCCAUAGAAGGUCAAGAGUUUGAAUAGUCAUAGCAGAAGUGAAAAUAUUUUUAAAUAAUCAAACAUUGGCUGAGGGUAUACAUCGGUCGGCAAACCGACCGAUACUUUUUUACUUGUUUUUUGAAAAGUUUAACACCAUUACCUAAACUAUCUUACAACUAUUUAGUUUAAAGUGGAACACUUUAAAUUCAUAUGCUUUUAUACCCAAAGGUGGAGGGUAUCAAAAGCUCGGGCCGGCCAAACUUAAUGCUUUUUUACUUGUUGGAUUAAAUGACAUCCCAUUUGCACUACACAAAUUCACAAGAGAAUUUAAAUAGCAUAGAAGAUUAGUUGAUUGGUUAAAAGACUCAAUAUUAGAGUACAUGUAAUAUCAAAAGCAGCAAAUAUCAAAAUUUUAGACAAAGGAAAAACAGAUGGAAGGAUGGAAAAACAGAUGAAGUAUAGUACAAAAGGUAGAGGACCUUAAUUACUUCCUAGAGAAACUCUUGAGUGUACAGUUAUAUUCUAAGAAAGACAAGUAAAUAAGCUGUAAGUUUGGCCGAGCCGAACUUUGAGUACCCUCCACCAUUUGGAACGAAUUUGGCAAUUCUCAAAAACAAUAAAAUCCGUUAAAAUUUCUGUUGGAAUCUUAAAAAUACCAAAGGUAGCUAUUAUAUUAGGAUCUAUCUAUCUGUUUUUAAUGUAGCUAAUAUCAUCAAAAUACGGAAUAUAGGUGGAACCAUGGUGGUUAUAAAACGUGGAUCUGCACAGACUGUAAUAUCCAUUACGAACUUCAAAUGCGAAAUUGGAAACAAUUCCGAUAAAUAAUGACGAUAAAAUCAUGAAAAUACCGAAUAUCGGGGGGUACCGUUAUAUGGGGGAUAUACGAAGGCGUGGACCUGCACAGACAAUUUUCUGUCAUAGGCUGUAGCAUCCAUUACGAAUUUCAAAUACGACAUCUAAUCGAAGACGUAGACCUGCACAGACAAUUUUCUGUCAUAGGUUGUAGUAUCCAUUACGAACUUCAAAUACCAAAUUUGAAACAAUUCCGGUUCAUAAUGUCGCUAAAAUCAUCAAAUUGCCGAAUAUAGGGAGGUACCGUUAUAUGGGGGCUAUAUGAAAACGAUAUAACUGUAACAGCAACGAAUUUAUACUGAAGAGCAAAGAUUUCGUACUGAUUUAAACAUGAAAAUAAGUGGCUACAAUUUAUAUUAUCCGUGAAUUGGUAAUAUGCCGCUGGAGAAGUUCUUUAUAACGAGAUCGUCGAGUGAGUUCUUGGAAGAUUAUAAACUUAUAUCACAGCCUUGUUCUGUAUUCAAUGAAUGUAUACGAAGACGUAAACCGAUAUCAACCAUUACGCUAGAACCCAUUACGAAGUACAAAUACCAAUUUUUAGACAUAUCUGUGAAAAAAUGUGGCGAAAAUAAUCAAAAUACCGAAUGUCGGGAGGUAGCGUUAUAUGGGGCUAUACGAAGGCGUGGACCUGGAUUCGAAAUUUUUUGCCAUAGAUUGUACUACCCAUUAACAUCUUCCAAUACGAAAUUUCAAACAAUUCCAGUGAAUAUUGUCGCUAAAAUUAUCAAAAUACCGAAUAUCGGUAUGUACCGUUAUGUGGGGGCUAUACGAAGACGUGGACCUUCAUACCCAUUUUUUGACAUAGGUUGUGGUACCAAUUCUUAAUUUCAAAUACGAAAUUUGAAACAAUUCCAUUAAAAAAUGUGCCUAAAAUCAUGAAAAUACCAAAGAACCUACGCGCCUGCCAAACAAAAACAACUACAACCGUUAUUUGCAAGCAAACACAUGUCUUUACAGUUUUCAGCAAUAACUCCUUAAACUGUUCAUCAGAAUCGAAAUUACAACAAAAAAGUCCCGUUGAUGGUUUCCCUAUUCCCCUCACCAACUCUAAACGUUCUUCAUUCGAUGUUGCACAAAAUAACGAACUAACUAUGCCAGCAUUUGCAAAGGAAGAAUGUUUUUUUUUUUUUUUUCCAAUCUUCAUAUGCACAGAUUUUUUCAUAUAAUUUCAUUUUACGUAGCAACCGAAAACAUAAUUUACCUCUCCCAAAUUAAACAACUACCAUUAAAAGUUGUUAUUCUCCUUUGUUCUCACCUACAAUCAAAAAUGCACAUCAUAAUUUCCAAAAACAAAAAAAUACCGCAGCAGCAGAAAAAACUCUAAUCAUUCCUCAUUAUAUAAAUACGUUAUUGCAUAAAUAACGAACUUACUAUGCCAGCAUAUGCAAAGGAAGAUUUUUUUUCCAAUUGGUUAGCAUACCAACCGAAAACACAUUUUACGUCUCUCAAAUAUAAAAACAACCAUUUUCGUAAGCAAACGACAAUAUCGACCAACGGUUUGUGUUUGUGUUUGUGUUUGUUUAUGUUUGUUUGUGUGUCAUCAACCACCAUUCAAAUUUGUUAUUCUCUUUUAUUCUCACCUCCGCCAUCUAACAGAGGUCAACGACCAUUAAGAUGAGAACAAAAUAGAAUAACAUAUUUGAAUGGUGAUUGGUCGUAUUGUCAUUUGCUGUCGAAAAUGGUUGUUGUCGAAAAGAAAAAAAGAAAAAACCAAAUUCUUGAUUGAUCUCAUACUUUAAAUGAUUUCUGAAGUGAACGGAGGUGUCUCAAGAGUGUUAUGUGUUAAAGAUAUUUUUUUUUUUUUUUGAAAAGCAGAGAUUUGAAGAUUUUGCAAAUGGAAGAAAGAGACAUGUUAGAAAAAACGUGUUAACUUCAAAUCGACAAAUUUCAGUGAACGCUGUGCGGAAAUUCCAAUCAAUUUUCAAAUCAAUUCUGAUAAUAAAAGAGAGUGGAUACAUCUCAAAAUGAACACAUAAUAAAGAUAACAAUACAAUAAAACUUUUAUUGUGCCUUCACGGCUAUUUGGCCGAUACACAAUUAAAGACUCACAGGAGGUUUUUAUAUACAUCACUAAAACAAUGCAAUCUUUGACCUCACAUAUAGAAUUCCUACCAAAACGGAACGAGCCUAGGUCUAGGAAACCCAAAAACGAUGCAUGUAGAGAUUUUUUAUGCUUAGAUGGAUAUCUAAUGCCUAUAAAUAACUUUUAGAGAGCUCUAGAUAUCUGUUUUAAAUCAUUUCAUGUGUUUCACUACAAUGCUUUUUAAACUUUUUUGAUUCCCGUUGUAUUUAAUUAGUACUUACAAA